rnacentral:rRNA from 1 species
CGCUGGCGGCACGCCUAACACAUGCAAGUCGAACGAAGUAGCAAUACUUAGUGGCAGACGGGUGAGUAACAUGUAGGUAUCUACCCUUUGGCCUGGAAUAACACGAGGAAACUUGUGCUAAUACCGGAUAAGUCUUUACAGAGAAAGCUUUAUGCACCAUUGGAUGAGCCUGCACUUGAUUAGUUUGUUGGUGGGGUAAUGGCCUACCAAGACUUUGAUCAAUAGCUGAUUUGAGAGGAUGAUCAGCCACAUUGGGACUGAGACACGGCCCAAACUCCUACGGGAGGCAGCAGUGGGGAAUCUUGCACAAUGGAGGAAACUCUGAUGCAGCGAUGCCGCGUGAGUGAAGAAGGCCUUUGGGUUGUAAAGCUCUUUCGUCGGGGAAGAAAAUGACUGUACCCGAAUAAGAAGGUCCGGCUAACUUCGUGCCAGCAGCCGCGGUAAUACGAAGGGACCUAGCGUAGUUCGGAAUUACUGGGCUUAAAGAGUUCGUAGGUGGUUGAAAAAGUUGGUGGUGAAAUCCCAGAGCUUAACUCUGGAACUGCCAUCAAAACUUUUCAGCUAGAGUUUGAUAGAGGAAAGCAGAAUUUCUAGUGUAGAGGUGAAAUUCGUAGAUAUUAGAAAGAAUACCAAUUGCGAAGGCAGCUUUCUGGAUCAUUACUGACACUGAGGAACGAAAGCAUGGGUAGCGAAGAGGAUUAGAUACCCUCGUAGUCCAUGCCGUAAACGAUGUGUGUUAGACGUUGGAAAUUUAUUUUCAGUGUCGCAGCGAAAGCGAUAAACACACCGCCUGGGGAGUAC